ensembl:snRNA U4 U4 spliceosomal RNA
AGCUUUGCAGUGGCAGUGUGAUGACCAAUGAGGAUUAUCUGAGGUGUGAUUAUUGCUAAUUGAAUCAGUGCCCUGAAGGUACUAGGAUUCCCUAUCAGUUUCAUACAAUUUCAGGGCUUGAUUUUUAUAGGUUACCCAGGCAA